rnacentral:rRNA from 1 species
GAUUAGAUACCCUAGUAUUUAUAAACUAGGAUGAUUAUUAUAGAUAAAGGAAUUUAAAAAUUUUGGCGGUUAAUUAUUAAUUAGAGGAGCUUGUUGUAGAAUUUGCUCUUUAUAUUUUAUUAGUUUUUGUUUAUUUAUCUCCGUUAUUAGGUGUUAAUUAUACAAGAAAAUGACUUGAAUUUCAGGUCAAGAUGUAGCUUAAAUUAAGACUAAUUAGCUACAUUUAUGUUAUGUUGUGGAUUUAUGUUUAAUAGAAAUAGUUAAUGAAAUUGAAUUUAAUUGUAAUGUUACUUUUAUAGAGAAAUUAUGAAGGUUUAUAAUUAAUGUUCAUAUUGCCCGUCACUUCUUUUGUUUAAAUAGAAUAAGUCGUAACAAA